rnacentral:rRNA from 1 species
AGCGGCAGACGGGAGAGUAACACGUGGGAACGUGCCCUUCAGUUCGGAACAACCCAGGGAAACUUGGGCUAAUACCGGAUACGUCCGUAAGGAGAAAGAUUUAUCGCUGAAGGAUCGGCCCGCGUCUGAUUAGCUAGUUGGUGAGGUAACGGCUCACCAAGGCGACGAUCAGUGGCUGGUCUGAGAGGAUGAUCAGCCUCACUGGGACUGAGACACGGCCCAGACUCCUACGGGAGGCAGCAGUGGGGAAUAUUGGACAAUGGGCGCAAGCCUGAUCCAGCCAUGCCGCGUGGAUGAUGAAGGCCCUAGGGUUGUAAAGUCCCUUCGGCGGGGAAGAUAAUGACGGUACCCGCAGAAGAAGCCCCGGCUAACUUCGUGCCAGCAGCCGCGGUAAUACGAAAGGGGCUAGCGUUGCUCGGAAUCACUGGGCGUAAAGCGCACGUAGGCGGCUUUAUAAGUCAGGGGUGAAAUCCUGGAGCUCAACUCCAGAACUGCCUUUGA